UUAAGCGACUAAGCGUACACGGUGGAUGCCCUGGCAGUCAGAGGCGAUGAAGGACGUGCUAAUCUGCGAUAAGCGUCGGUAAGGUGAUAUGAACCGUUAUAACCGGCGAUUUCCGAAUGGGGAAACCCAGUGUGUUUCGACACACUAUCAUUAACUGAAUCCAUAGGUUAAUGAGGCGAACCGGGGGAACUGAAACAUCUAAGUACCCCGAGGAAAAGAAAUCAACCGAGAUUCCCCCAGUAGCGGCGAGCGAACGGGGAGCAGCCCAGAGCCUGAAUCAGUGUGUGUGUUAGUGGAAGCGUCUGGAAAGGCGCGCGAUACAGGGUGACAGCCCCGUACACAAAAAUGCACAUAUUGUGAGCUCGAUGAGUAGGGCGGGACACGUGGUAUCCUGUCUGAAUAUGGGGGGACCAUCCUCCAAGGCUAAAUACUCCUGACUGACCGAUAGUGAACCAGUACCGUGAGGGAAAGGCGAAAAGAACCCCGGCGAGGGGAGUGAAAAAGAACCUGAAACCGUGUACGUACAAGCAGUGGGAGCACGCUUAGGCGUGUGACUGCGUACCUUUUGUAUAAUGGGUCAGCGACUUAUAUUCUGUAGCAAGGUUAACCGAAUAGGGGAGCCGAAGGGAAACCGAGUCUUAACUGGGCGUUAAGUUGCAGGGUAUAGACCCGAAACCCGGUGAUCUAGCCAUGGGCAGGUUGAAGGUUGGGUAACACUAACUGGAGGACCGAACCGACUAAUGUUGAAAAAUUAGCGGAUGACUUGUGGCUGGGGGUGAAAGGCCAAUCAAACCGGGAGAUAGCUGGUUCUCCCCGAAAGCUAUUUAGGUAGCGCCUCGUGAAUUCAUCUCCGGGGGUAGAGCACUGUUUCGGCAAGGGGGUCAUCCCGACUUACCAACCCGAUGCAAACUGCGAAUACCGGAGAAUGUUAUCACGGGAGACACACGGCGGGUGCUAACGUCCGUCGUGAAGAGGGAAACAACCCAGACCGCCAGCUAAGGUCCCAAAGUCAUGGUUAAGUGGGAAACGAUGUGGGAAGGCCCAGACAGCCAGGAUGUUGGCUUAGAAGCAGCCAUCAUUUAAAGAAAGCGUAAUAGCUCACUGGUCGAGUCGGCCUGCGCGGAAGAUGUAACGGGGCUAAACCAUGCACCGAAGCUGCGGCAGCGACACUAUGUGUUGUUGGGUAGGGGAGCGUUCUGUAAGCCUGCGAAGGUGUGCUGUGAGGCAUGCUGGAGGUAUCAGAAGUGCGAAUGCUGACAUAAGUAACGAUAAAGCGGGUGAAAAGCCCGCUCGCCGGAAGACCAAGGGUUCCUGUCCAACGUUAAUCGGGGCAGGGUGAGUCGACCCCUAAGGCGAGGCCGAAAGGCGUAGUCGAUGGGAAACAGGUUAAUAUUCCUGUACUUGGUGUUACUGCGAAGGGGGGACGGAGAAGGCUAUGUUGGCCGGGCGACGGUUGUCCCGGUUUAAGCGUGUAGGCUGGUUUUCCAGGCAAAUCCGGAAAAUCAAGGCUGAGGCGUGAUGACGAGGCACUACGGUGCUGAAGCAACAAAUGCCCUGCUUCCAGGAAAAGCCUCUAAGCAUCAGGUAACAUCAAAUCGUACCCCAAACCGACACAGGUGGUCAGGUAGAGAAUACCAAGGCGCUUGAGAGAACUCGGGUGAAGGAACUAGGCAAAAUGGUGCCGUAACUUCGGGAGAAGGCACGCUGAUAUGUAGGUGAAGUCCCUCGCGGAUGGAGCUGAAAUCAGUCGAAGAUACCAGCUGGCUGCAACUGUUUAUUAAAAACACAGCACUGUGCAAACACGAAAGUGGACGUAUACGGUGUGACGCCUGCCCGGUGCCGGAAGGUUAAUUGAUGGGGUUAGCCGCAAGGCGAAGCUCUUGAUCGAAGCCCCGGUAAACGGCGGCCGUAACUAUAACGGUCCUAAGGUAGCGAAAUUCCUUGUCGGGUAAGUUCCGACCUGCACGAAUGGCGUAAUGAUGGCCAGGCUGUCUCCACCCGAGACUCAGUGAAAUUGAACUCGCUGUGAAGAUGCAGUGUACCCGCGGCAAGACGGAAAGACCCCGUGAACCUUUACUAUAGCUUGACACUGAACAUUGAGCCUUGAUGUGUAGGAUAGGUGGGAGGCUUAGAAGUGUGGACGCCAGUCUGCAUGGAGCCGACCUUGAAAUACCACCCUUUAAUGUUUGAUGUUCUAACGUUGACCCGUAAUCCGGGUUGCGGACAGUGUCUGGUGGGUAGUUUGACUGGGGCGGUCUCCUCCUAAAGAGUAACGGAGGAGCACGAAGGUUGGCUAAUCCUGGUCGGACAUCAGGAGGUUAGUGCAAUGGCAUAAGCCAGCUUGACUGCGAGCGUGACGGCGCGAGCAGGUGCGAAAGCAGGUCAUAGUGAUCCGGUGGUUCUGAAUGGAAGGGCCAUCGCUCAACGGAUAAAAGGUACUCCGGGGAUAACAGGCUGAUACCGCCCAAGAGUUCAUAUCGACGGCGGUGUUUGGCACCUCGAUGUCGGCUCAUCACAUCCUGGGGCUGAAGUAGGUCCCAAGGGUAUGGCUGUUCGCCAUUUAAAGUGGUACGCGAGCUGGGUUUAGAACGUCGUGAGACAGUUCGGUCCCUAUCUGCCGUGGGCGCUGGAGAACUGAGGGGGGCUGCUCCUAGUACGAGAGGACCGGAGUGGACGCAUCACUGGUGUUCGGGUUGUCAUGCCAAUGGCACUGCCCGGUAGCUAAAUGCGGAAGAGAUAAGUGCUGAAAGCAUCUAAGCACGAAACUUGCCCCGAGAUGAGUUCUCCCUGACCCUUUAAGGGUCCUGAAGGAACGUUGAAGACGACGACGUUGAUAGGCCGGGUGUGUAAGCGCAGCGAUGCGUUGAGCUAACCGGUACUAAUGAACCGUGAGGCUUAACCU
rnacentral:rRNA from 1 species